GGAUGCGAUCAUACCAGCACUAAAGCACCGGAUCCCAUCAGAACUCCGAAGUUAAGCGUGCUUGGGCGAGAGUAGUACUAGGAUGGGUGACCUCCUGAGAAGUCCUUGUGUUGCAUUCC
rnacentral:rRNA from 1 species